rnacentral:lncRNA from 1 species
UAACAGUAUAAAUUUGCAACGAGUACUUUUUUUCAUCCAAUCCAAAAAAGAGUAAAACCUAAUUAUAUUGUUCUAUUACACCCCGAGAGUGUAAUGUUGGAAGGAAUCGAGAUCAACGUUCACAAGAACCAAAAUCGGAACAACAUUAGACUACUCGCGCCCUAACAUUAUAACUUUGCAACGAGUACUUUUUCUCAUUCAAUCAAACAAAGAGUAAAUCCUAAUUACAUUGGUCUAUUAUGCCCCAAGAGUGUAAUGUUGGAAGGAAUCGAUGUCAACGUUCACAAAAACCAAAACCGGAACUGCAUUAGACAACUCACUUGCGCCCUAACAGUAUAAAUUUGCAACGAGUGCUUUUUCUCAUUCUAUCGAACAAAGAGUACAAGCUAAUUAUACUGUUCUAUUAUACCCUGAGAGUGUAAAUUUCGAACGAAUACAUGUCAACGUUAACAAGAACCAAAACCGAAACAACAUUAGACUACACAGUUGCGCCCUAACUGUAUAACUUUACAACGAGUACUUUUUCUCAUUCAAUCAAACAAAGAGUAAAACCUAAUUGUAUUGUUUUAUUAUGCCCCGAGAGUGUAAUAUUGGAACAAAUCGAUGUCAACGUUCACAAGAACCAAAACCGGAACAACAUUAAACUACUCGGUUGCGCCAUAAUAGUAUAAAUUUGCAACGAAUACUUUUUCUUAUUCUAUCGAACAAAGAGUAAAAGCUAAUUAUAUUGUUCUAUUAUGCCCCGAGAGUGUAAAUUUCGAACGAAUCGUUGUCAACGUUCACAAGAACCAAAACUUGAACAAUAUUAGACUACUCAGUUGCGCCCUAACAGCAUAAAUUUGCAACGAGUUUUUUUUCUCAUUCUAUCGAACAAAGAGUAAAAACUAAUUAUAUUGUUUUAUUAUGCCCUGAGAGUGUAAAUUUCAAACGAAUCGAUGUCAACGUUCACAAGAACCAAAACGGAAACAACAUUAGACUACUAAGUUGCGCCAUAACAGUAUAACUUUGCAACAAGUACUUUUUCUAAUUCAAUCGAACAAAGAGUAAAACCUAAUUACCUUGUUCUAUUAUGCCCCGAGACUGUAAAUUUCGAACGAAUCGAUGUCAACGUUCACAAGAACCAAAACCGGAACAACAUUAGACUACUCAGUUGCGCCCUAACAAUAUAACUUUGCAACGAGUACUUUUUCUCAUUCAAACAAACAAAAAGUAAAAACCUAAUUAUAUUGUUCUAUUAUGCCCCGAGAGUGUAAUAGUAGAACGAAACGAUGUCAAAGUUCACAAGAACCAAAAUCGGAACAACAUUAGACUACUCGGUUGCGUCCUAACAGUAUAACUUUGCAACAAGUACUUUUUCUCACUCUUUCGAACAAAGUGUAAAACCUAAUUAUAUUGUUCUAUUAUGCCCCGAGAAUGUAAAUUUCGAAUGAAUCGAUGUCAACGUUAACAAGAACCAAAACCGAAACAACAUUAGAAUACACAGUUGCGCCCUAACUGUAUAACUUUGCAACGAGUACUUUUUCUCAUUCAAUCAAACAAAGAGUAAAACCUAAUUGUAUUAUUCUAUUAUGCCCCGAGAGUGUAAUAUUGGAACGAAUCGAAGUCAACGUUCACAAGAACCAAAACCGGAACAACAUUAAACUACUCGGUUGCGCCCUAACAGUAUAAAUUUGCAACGAGUACUUUUUCUUAUUCUAUCGAACAAAGAGUAAAAGCUAAUUAUAUUGUUCUAUUAUGCCCCGAGAGUGUAAAUUUCGAACGAAUCGUUGUCAAUGUUCACAAGAACCAAAACCGGAACAACAUUAGACUACUCAGUUGCACCCUAACAGUAUAAAUUUGCAACGAGUUCUUUUUAUCAAUCUAUCGAACAAAGAGGAAAAACUAAUUAUAUUGUUCUAUUAUGCCCUGAGAGUGUAAAUUUCAAACGAAUCGAUGUCAACGUUCACAAGAACCAAAACCGAAACAACAUUAGACUACUAAGUUGCGCCUUAACAGUAUAACUUUGCAACGAGUACUUUUUCUCAUUCAAUCGAACAAAGAGUAAAACCUAAUUACCUUGUUCUAUUAUGCCCCGAGACUGUAAAUUUCGAACGAAUCGAUGUCAACGUUCACAUGAACCAAAAUCGGAACAACAUUAGACUACUUAGUCGCGCCCUGACAAUAUAACUUUGCAACGAGUACUUUUUCUCAUUCAAACAAACAAAGAGUAAAAACCUAAUUAUAUUGUUCUAUUUUACCCAGAGAGUGUAAUAGUGGAACGAAACGAUGUCUACGUUCACAAGAACCAAAAUCGGAACAACAUUAGACUACUCAGUAGCGGCCUAACAGUAUAAAUUUGCAACGAAUACUUUUUCUCAUUCUAUCGAAGAAAACGUAAAACCUAAUUAUAUUGUUCUAUUAUGCCCUGAGAGUGUAAUGUUGGAACGAAUCGUUGUCAACGUUCACAAGAAGCAAAAUCGGAACAACAUUAGACUACUUAGUUUCGCCCUAACAGUAUAAAUUUGCAACGAGUUCUUUUUCUCAUUUAAUCAAACAAAGAGUAAAACCUAAUUAUAUUGUUCUAUUAUGCCCUGAGAGUGUAAUGUUGGAACGAAUCGUUGUCAACGUUCACAAGAACCAAAACCGGAACAACAUUAAACUACUCAGUUUCGCCCUAACAAUAUAAAUUUGCAUCGAGUACUUUUUCUCAUUUAAUCAAAAAAAAGUAAAACCUAAUUAUAUUGUUCUAAUAUACCCCGAGAGUGUAAUGUUGGAAGGAAUCGAUGUCAACGUUCACAAGAAUCAAAACCGAAACAACAUUAGACUACUCACUUGCGCCCUAAUAUUAUAACUUUGCAACGAGUACUUUUUCUCAUUCAAUCAAACAAAGAGUAAAUCCUAAUUAUAUUGUUCUAUUAUGCCCCGAGAGUGUAAUGUUGGAAGGAAUCGAUGUCAACGUUCACUAGAACCAAAACCGGAACUGCAUUAGACAACUCACUUGCGCCGUAACAGUAUAAAUUUGCAACGAGUGCUUUUUCUCAUUCUAUCGAACAAAGAGUAAAAGCUAAUUAUAUUUUUCUAUUAUGAUGCCCCGAGAGUGUAAAUUUCGAACGAAUUGAUGUCAACGUUCACAAGAACCAUAACCGAAACAACAUUAGACUACGCAGUUGCGCCCUAACUGUAUAACUAUGCAACGAGUACUUUUUCUCAUUCAAUCAAACAAAGAAUAAAAGCUAAUUAUAUUGUUGUAUUAUGCCCCGAGUGCGUAAAUUUUCGACAAAUCGAUGUCAAUGUUCAUAAGAACCAAAACCGGAACAACAUUAGGCUACUCAGUUGCGCCCUAACAGUAUAAAUUGGCAACGAGGGCUUUUUCUCAUUCUAUCGAACGAAGAGUAAAAAAUGUGUCGGUUCUAUUAUGCCCCGAGAGGGUAAAUUAGAUGUCCACAUUCACAAGAACGAAAACCGGAACAACAUUAAGCUACUCAAUUGCGGCCAAACAGCAUAAAUUUGGAACGAGUAAUUUUUCUCAUUCAAUCGAACAAAGAGUAAUACCUAAUUAAAAUGUUCUAUUAUGCCCCGAGAGGGUAAAUUAGAUAUCCACGUUCACAAGAACGAAAACCGGAACAACAUUAGACUACUCAAUUGCGCCCUAACAGUAUAAAUUUGCAACGUGUACUUUUUCUCAUUCAUUCAAACAAAGAGUAAAACCUAAUUAAAAUGUUCUAUUAUGCCCUGAGAGGGUAAAUUAGAUGUCCACGUUCACAAAACGAGAACCGGAACAACAUUAGGCUACUCAAUUGCGCCCUAACAUUAUAAAUUUGCAACGAGUACUUUUUCUCAUUCAAGCGAAUAAAGAGCAAAACCUAAUUAAAAUAUUCUAUUAUGCCCCGGGGAGGUAAAUUAGAUGUCCACGUUCACAAGAACGAAAACCGGAACAACAUUAAGCUACUCAAUUGCGGCCAAACAGUAUAAAUUUGGAACGAGUACUUUUUCUCAUUCAACCGAAUAAAGAGUAAUACCUAAUUAAAAUGUUAUAUUAUGCCCCGAGAGGGUAAAUUAGAUAUCCACU